UACAACAUAAUGUUAAUGCACCAGAUCCCAUUAGAACUCCACAGUUAAGUGCACUUAGGCUAGAGUAGUACUAGGAUGGGUGACCACCUGGAAAGUCCUAGUGUUUUAC
rnacentral:rRNA from 1 species